rnacentral:sRNA from 1 species
CUAUGAAACGCUCAAAUUCCUUGUGGGCCAUCUCAAGACCAUCGCUGACCACUCUGAGAAAAACAAGAUGGAACCCCGGAACCUGGCCCUGGUCUUUGGGCCAACACUGGUGAGGACGUCUGAGGACAACAUGACAGACAUGGUGACCCACAUGCCUGAUCGCUACAAGAUCGUGGAGACACUGAUCCAGCACGUAAGCCCCUGUUCCGGGGGGUGCCCAGCAGCCCCUGGGGCCCAGGCCAUGUUCCUCUGAGCCCCUCGCUUUUGCUCAGCCUGGCGGGGUGUGCCCCAGGAAGGGCUCGGCAGCUUUAGAGCAUGCUGCUAGGGUGGUAUAUACUCCUCCAAAGCCAUGGGCUGCAUUUGAAGGCAAGGCAGGAAUGGAUCCUGGAAUCCCUGCUGCCCUGG